rnacentral:rRNA from 1 species
AGUGAACGCUGGCGGUAGGCCUAACACAUGCAAGUCGAACGGCAGCACAGUAAGAGCUUGCUCUUACGGGUGGCGAGUGGCGGACGGGUGAGGAAUACAUCGGAAUCUACUUUUUCGUGGGGGAUAACGUAGGGAAACUUACGCUAAUACCGCAUACGACCUACGGGUGAAAGCAGGGGAUCUUCGGACCUUGCGCGAUUGAAUGAGCCGAUGUCGGAUUAGCUAGUUGGCGGGGUAAAGGCCCACCAAGGCGACGAUCCGUAGCUGGUCUGAGAGGAUGGUCAGCCACACUGGAACGGAGACACGGUCCAGGCUCCUACGGGAGGCAGCAGUGGGGAAUAUUGGACAAUGGGGGCAAGCCUGAUCCAGCGAUACCGCGUGGGUGAAGAAGGCCUUCGGGUUGUAAAGCCCUUUUGUUGGGAAAGAAAAGCAGCAGGUUAAUACCCCGCUGUUCUGACGGUACCCAAAGAAUAAGCACCGGCUAACUUCGUG